rnacentral:pre_miRNA from 1 species
AAUAAGACCAGUUUUUAGUUUAUACAAUGUUUUGAUUCUUCGUUUUAUUUAAAAAUUUUUGCGAUUAAUAUUUUUAUACUUACUAUAUGAUAAAACAUAAAUAGUACUUUAUACGUGACUAAUUUUUUAAAGUCUUUGUACAAAUUCUUCAAAUAAGACGAAUGAUUAGAGACGUAAAAAC